rnacentral:rRNA from 1 species
GGGUUGUGAGGUUAAGCGACUAAGCGUACACGGUGGAUGCCCUGGCAGUCAGAGGCGAUGAAGGACGUGCUAAUCUGCGAAAAGCGUCGGUAAGGUGAUAUGAACCGUUAUAACCGGCGAUGUCCGAAUGGGGAAACCCAGUGUGAUUCGUCACACUAUCGUUAACUGAAUACAUAGGUUAACGAGGCGAACCGGGGGAACUGAAACAUCUAAGUACCCCGAGGAAAAGAAAUCAACCGAGAUUCCCCCAGUAGCGGCGAGCGAACGGGGAGCAGCCCAGAGUCUGAAUCAGCUUGUGUGUUAGUGGAACGGUCUGGAAAGUCCGACGGUACAGGGUGAUAGUCCCGUACACCAAAAUGCACAGGCUGUGAACUCGAAGAGUAGGGCGGGACACGUGGUAUCCUGUCUGAAUAUGGGGGACCAUCCUCCAAGGCUAAAUACUCCUGACUGACCGAUAGUGAACCAGUACCGUGAGGGAAAGGCGAAAAGAACCCCGGCGAGGGGAGUGAAAAAGAACCUGAAACCGUGUACGUACAAGCAGUGGGAGCACCUUCGGGUGUGACUGCGUACCUUUUGUAUAAUGGGUCAGCGACUUAUAUUCUGUAGCAAGGUUAACCGUAUAGGGGAGCCGCAGGGAAACCGAGUCUUAACUGGGCGUUAAGUUGCAGGGUAUAGACCCGAAACCCGGUGAUCUAGCCAUGGGCAGGUUGAAGGUUGGGUAACACUAACUGGAGGACCGAACCGACUAAUGUUGAAAAAUUAGCGGAUGACUUGUGGCUGGGGGUGAAAGGCCAAUCAAACCGGGAGAUAGCUGGUUCUCCCCGAAAGCUAUUUAGGUAGCGCCUCGUGAACUCAUCUUCGGGGUAGAGCACUGUUUCGGCUAGGGGUCAUCCCGACUUACCAACCCGAUGCAAACUACGAAUACCGAAGAAUGUUAUCACGGGAGACACACGGCGGGUGCUAACGUCCGUCGUGAAGAGGGAAACAACCCAGACCGCCAGCUAAGGUCCCAAAGUCAUGGUUAAGUGGGAAACGAUGUGGGAAGGCACAGACAGCCAGGAUGUUGGCUUAGAAGCAGCCAUCAUUUAAAGAAAGCGUAAUAGCUCACUGGUCGAGUCGGCCUGCGCGGAAGAUGUAACGGGGCUAAACCAUGCACCGAAGCUGCGGCAGCGACACUAUGUGUUGUUGGGUAGGGGAGCGUUCUGUAAGCCUGCGAAGGUGUGCUGUGAGGCAUGCUGGAGGUAUCAGAAGUGCGAAUGCUGACAUAAGUAACGAUAAAGCGGGUGAAAAGCCCGCUCGCCGGAAGACCAAGGGUUCCUGUCCAACGUUAAUCGGGGCAGGGUGAGUCGACCCCUAAGGCGAGGCCGAAAGGCGUAGUCGAUGGGAAACAGGUUAAUAUUCCUGUACUUGGUGUUACUGCGAAGGGGGGACGGAGAAGGCUAUGUUAGCCGGGCGACGGUUGUCCCGGUUUAAGCAUGUAGGCUGGUUAUCCAGGCAAAUCCGGAUAAUCAAGGCUGAGGUGUGAUGACGAGGCACUACGGUGCUGAAGUAACAAAUGCCCUGCUUCCAGGAAAAGCCUCUAAGCAUCAGGUAACAUCAAAUCGUACCCCAAACCGACACAGGUGGUCAGGUAGAGAAUACCAAGGCGCUUGAGAGAACUCGGGUGAAGGAACUAGGCAAAAUGGUGCCGUAACUUCGGGAGAAGGCACGCUGGUGUGUAGGUGAAGCCCCUGCGGGUGGAGCUGAGACCAGUCGAAGAUACCAGCUGGCUGCAACUGUUUAUUAAAAACACAGCACUGUGCAAACACGAAAGUGGACGUAUACGGUGUGACGCCUGCCCGGUGCCGGAAGGUUAAUUGAUGGGGUUAUCCGUAAGGAGAAGCUCUUGAUCGAAGCCCCGGUAAACGGCGGCCGUAACUAUAACGGUCCUAAGGUAGCGAAAUUCCUUGUCGGGUAAGUUCCGACCUGCACGAAUGGCGUAAUGAUGGCCAGGCUGUCUCCACCCGAGACUCAGUGAAAUUGAACUCGCUGUGAAGAUGCAGUGUACCCGCGGCAAGACGGAAAGACCCCGUGAACCUUUACUAUAGCUUGACACUGAACAUUGAGCCUUGAUGUGUAGGAUAGGUGGGAGGCUUUGAAGCGUGGACGCCAGUCUGCGUGGAGCCAACCUUGAAAUACCACCCUUUAAUGUUUGAUGUUCUAACGUUGGCCCCUUACCGGGGUUGCGGACAGUGUCUGGUGGGUAGUUUGACUGGGGCGGUCUCCUCCCAAAGCGUAACGGAGGAGCACGAAGGUUAGCUAAUCCUGGUCGGACAUCAGGAGGUUAGUGCAAUGGCAUAAGCUAGCUUGACUGCGAGCGUGACGGCGCGAGCAGGUGCGAAAGCAGGUCAUAGUGAUCCGGUGGUUCUGAAUGGAAGGGCCAUCGCUCAACGGAUAAAAGGUACUCCGGGGAUAACAGGCUGAUACCGCCCAAGAGUUCAUAUCGACGGCGGUGUUUGGCACCUCGAUGUCGGCUCAUCACAUCCUGGGGCUGAAGUAGGUCCCAAGGGUAUGGCUGUUCGCCAUUUAAAGUGGUACGCGAGCUGGGUUUAGAACGUCGUGAGACAGUUCGGUCCCUAUCUGCCGUGGGCGCUGGAGAAUUGAGGGGGGCUGCUCCUAGUACGAGAGGACCGGAGUGGACGCAUCACUGGUGUUCGGGUUGUCAUGCCAAUGGCACUGCCCGGUAGCUAAAUGCGGAAGAGAUAAGUGCUGAAAGCAUCUAAGCACGAAACUUGCCCCGAGAUGAGUUCUCCCUGAGACUUUAAGUCUCCUGAAGGAACGUUGAAGACGACGACGUUGAUAGGCCGGGUGUGUAAGCGCAGCGAUGCGUUGAGCUAACCGGUACUAAUGAACCGUGAGGCUUAACCUUACAACGCCGAAG